rnacentral:rRNA from 1 species
GUAGGCGGCAAGCGUUGUCCGGAAUUAUUGGGGCGUAAAGCGCGCGCAGGCGGUUCUUUAAGUCUGAUGUGAAAGCCCACGGGCUCAACCGUGGAGGGUCAUUGGAAACUGGAGAACUUGAGUACAGAAGAGGAAAGCGGAGUUCCACGUGUAGCGGUGAAAUGCGUAGAGAUGUGGAGGAACACCAGUGGCGAAGGCGGCUUUCUGGUCUGUAACUGACGCUGAGGCGCGAAAGCGUGGGGAGCAAACAGGAUUAGAUACCCUGGUAGUCCACGCCGUAAACGAUGAGUGCUAAGUGUUAGGGGGUUUCCGCCCCUUAGUGCUGCAGCUAACGCAUUAAGCACUCCGCCUGGGGAGUACGGCCGCAAAGGCUG